UCGCCCUGCGCUUCCACUUUCGCGGCAUCCCGACAUUGGCUCCGGAGAACCGCAUCUUUCCAUUCUGCCAACCGAAACAACAUUUCCUUUGGGAUCUGCGCUCGAGCAGUGGCCACAUCAGAGACGGCGGGCUCCUCCACUUCAAAACCCCUCUCACAGGCGUUAAUCACCUGAGCAGUUGUCCUACCAUUACUACAGGAAGCCAGCAGGCCCGGUUCCUUUAUUGAUAGAGUUCACAUACUGCCUAGACUGCGGGCAAUGGUGUGUAAAUGGAGUGCAUGUUGAGUGAAUUAACUGCCUGCGUGACACUUUCUCAAGAACUUUCACUUGCCUUUCCGCUAGUGGAGGCAGGCAUAGCUUUUUCAUUUAAAAAUGAAAGCAGCAUUCAAUAAAUGGAUCAGGGCU